rnacentral:rRNA from 1 species
UACGGGGGGGGCAAGCGUUGUUCGGAAUUACUGGGCGUAAAGGGCUCGUAGGCGGCCAACUAAGUCGGAUGUGAAAUCCCCGGGCUUAACCUGGGAAUUGCGCUCGAAACUACGGAGCUGGAGUGUGGCAGAGGGAGGUGGAAUUCCACGUGUAGCGGUGAAAUGCGUAGAGAUGUGGAGGAACACCAAUGGCGAAGGCAGCCUCCUGGGCCAACACUGACACUCAUGCACGAAAGCGUGGGGAGCAAACAGG